GAGCAUGUAGAAGGCGGAGAUGGCCAUGAUGGAGGCAUCGAUCAAGGCGACCAUGGCCAGAUGUAGCGACGACACCGGCCAUGGCCAUAACCAUCUUCCACCCUCCCUGUUUCACUAGCAAAACUCACCUCCGCCACCCUCUAGUACGACCACCCGGCACCACCAUCAUCUCCAAGCAGCAGUGGCAGUACCCAAUACCCGUGACCACCAAUCUCCAUAACCUCUGUCAACCACCAGCAACACCAGCGAACCAAACCACCCUCACCAAUCACUGUAACCACCAAACCACCAUGCCCCUCCGGCCCCAUCACCCCACGUAAACCAGCUCUCUGGAGCUUAGUCUGCAGCCCUCGUCACCUUCAUGGAUCCUCAUAUCCCUCUGUCUCAUCCACUAUCAUCCUCACCACCCAUGGUUAGAAGGUAGCCACUGAAAGGGGGAUUUCGCUUGGACACGCCCAAAUCGAUUUCCAUUUCUCUUUGGACUCCUCUGUUCCUGCUCCUGCUCCUAGCACUCAAACUAAUUAUUCCCUUUCAUGGAGGUGUGACCUAUUAAUUUUUGAUUGCUUCAGCGAGUUCAACUUGCCAAAAAUUUCAAAGGGGGUUUGCAACUGUGACAACGUCAGAAUAAUGUCAUGCACUACAGAUGCAGCUUUUCACUUUUUUUGUUAUUUAAACAGAUGAAAUGUAUUUGAAUUUAAUAAUGUAUUUGUAUUUAAAUUUGAAUUUGUAUAAAUGUAUUUGAAUUUGAAUUUGAAUUUGUAUAAUAUAUUUGUAUUUAAAUUUGAAUUAGAAUUUUAAAUAA